CUACGGGUGGCAGCAGUGGGGAAUAUUGCACAAUGGAGGAAACUCUGAUGCAGCAACGCCGCGUGGAGGAUGACACAUUUCGGUGCGUAAACUCCUUUUAUAUAGGAAGAUAAUGACGGUACUAUAUGAAUAAGCGCCGGCUAACUCCGUGCCAGCAGCCGCGGUAAUACGGAGGGCGCAAGCGUUACUCGGAAUCACUGGGCGUAAAGAGCGUGUAGGCGGAUAGAUAAGUCAGGAGUGAAAUCCUAUGGCUCAACCAUAGAACUGCUCUUGAAACUGUCUAUCUAGAGUGUGGGAGAGGUAGAUGGAAUUUCUGGUGUAGGGGUAAAAUCCGUAGAGAUCAGAAGGAAUACCGAUUGCGAAGGCGAUCUACUGGAACAUAACUGACGCUGAGACGCGAAAGCGUGGGGAGCAAACAGGAUUAGAUACCCUCGUAGUC
rnacentral:rRNA from 1 species